AACGCACAUUGCGCCCGCCAGUACUCUGGCGGGCAUGCCUGUCCGAGCGUCAUUUCAACCCUCGAGCCCCCCGCGGGCCCGGUGUUGGGGACCGGCGACCACGCCCAGCGCGUGCGUCCGCCGCCCCCGAAAUGAAUCGGCGGCCUCGUCGCGGCCCUCCCCUGCGUAGUAGCACAACCUCGCGGCGGGAGCGCGGCGCGGCCACCGCCGUAAAACGCCCCAACCCUUCUCAAGAGUUGACCUCGGAUCAGGUAGGAAUACCCGCUGAACUUAA
rnacentral:misc_RNA from 1 species